UGAUUGGGGCUUCUCACUGGGUUUUCCUCACAAAUUUUCAGAAUCUGUACUUCGAGGUAAAUCAGCCUUGAGUCGCUGUGGAUGGCUGUCAAUGUUAAGAGGAAAAAAACAGAACAAAAAGUUUUCCAGUAUGCUUGGAAAGAGAAGAGAAGAGAAGAGAAGAGAAGAGAAGAGAAGAGAAGAGAAGAGAAGAGAAGAGAAGAGAAGAGAAGAGAAGAGAAGAGAAGAGGAG
rnacentral:lncRNA from 1 species